rnacentral:rRNA from 1 species
AACGAACGCUGGCGGCAGGCUUAACACAUGCAAGUCGAGCGCAUCCUUCGGGGUGAGCGGCAGACGGGUGAGUAACGCGUGGAACAUGCCCAAAGGUACGGAACAACUCCGGGAAACUGGAGCUAAUACCGUAUGUGACCGAGAGGUGAAAGAUUUAUCGCCUUUGGAUUGGCCCGCGUUGGAUUAGCUAGUUGGUGGGGUAAAGGCCUACCAAGGCGACGAUCCAUAGCUGGUCUGAGAGGAUGAUCAGCCACACUGGGACUGAGACACGGCCCAGACUCCUACGGGAGGCAGCAUUGGGGAAUAUUGGACAAUGGGCGCAAGCCUGAUCCAGCCAUGCCGCGUGUGUGAUGAAGGCCUUAGGGUUGUAAAGCACUUUCGCCAGGGACGAUAAUGACGGUACCUGGAUAAGAAGCCCCGGCUAACUUCGUGCCAGCAGCCGCCGUAAAAC